rnacentral:rRNA from 1 species
GGCCUAAUACAUGCAAGUCGAGCGCACCUUUCGGGGUGAGCGGCGGACGGGUGAGUAACGAGUGGGAAUAUGCCCUAUGGUGUGGAACAACUGAAAGAAAGGUCAGCUAAUACCGCAUGUGCCCGGCGGGGGAAAGAUUGAUCGCCAUAGGAGUAGCCGUAAAGGGAUUAGUUGGUUGGUGGGGUAAUGGCUCACCAAGGGUACGUUCCACACCUGGUGUGAGAGGAUGAUCCCCCACUCUGGGAGUGAGACNCGGCCCAGACUCUUACGGGAGGCAGCAGUAGGGAAUCCUGCCCAAUGGGCGAAAGCCUGAAGCAGCCAUGCCGCGUGAAUGAUGAAGGUCUUAGGAUGUAAAANNUNUCACCGGGACGAUAA